rnacentral:rRNA from 1 species
CUACGGGCGGCAGCAGUAAGGAAUAUUGCGCAAUGGAGGCAACUCUGACGCAGCCAUGCCGCGUGCAGGAAGAAGGCCUUAUGGGUCGUAAACUGCUUUUAUUUAGGAAUAAACCCCCGAACGCGUUCGGGGCUGAAGGUACUAAACGAAUAAGCACCGGCUAACUCCGUGCCAGCAGCCGCGGUAAUACGGAGGGUGCAAGCGUUAUCCGGAUUUAUUGGGUUUAAAGGGUGCGCAGGCGGGCUAUUAAGUCAGUGGUGAAAUCCCGGGGCUCAACUCCGGAACUGCCAUUGAUACUGAUAGUCUUGAGCUUGGUUGAAGUGGGCGGAAUGUAGCAUGUAGCGGUGAAAUGCAUAGAUAUGCUACAGAACACCAAUCGCGAAGGCAGCUCACUAAGCCAAAACUGACGCUCAUGCACGAAAGCGUGGGGAUCAAACAGGAUUAGAUACCCUGGUAGUC